GUGCCAGCCGCCGCGGUAAUACGUAGGGUGCGAGCGUUGUCCGGAAUUACUGGGCGUAAAGAGCUCGUAGGUGGUUUGUCGCGUUGUUCGUGAAAACUCACAGCUUAACUGUGGGCGUGCGGGCGAUACGGGCAGACUAGAGUACUGCAGGGGAGACUGGAAUUCCUGGUGUAGCGGUGGAAUGCGCAGAUAUCAGGAGGAACACCGGUGGCGAAGGCGGGUCUCUGGGCAGUAACUGACGCUGAGGAGCGAAAGCGUGGGGAGCGAACAGGAUUAGAUACCCUGGUAGUCCACGCCGUAAACGGUGGGUACUAGGUGUGGGUUCCUUCCUUGGGAUCCGUGCCGUAGCUAACGCAUUAAGUGCCCCGCCUGGGGAGUACGGCCGCAAGGCUAAAACUCAAAGAAAUUGACGGGGGCCCGCACAAGCGGCGGAGCAUGUGGAUUAAUUCGAUGCAACGCGAAGACCUUACCUGGGUUUGACAUGCACAGGACGCUGGC
rnacentral:rRNA from 1 species